UUCUGGCCCAGCGCCGCGAAGGCAUCCUGCAGCCGGUUAACGAGCGGGAUGAGCCCCUCCAUCCCGCCGCCGCCUCCUCCUCCUCCGCCCGCCGCCGCCGCUGACAGAUUGUCCAGAGAGGCUGUGGAGUGUCCCUCACUGGAGAUAUCCCAGAACCAACUGGACACGAUGCUCUGGGAUAACCGUGCUUGAGCUGGGAGAUCGGACCAGAAGCCCCCUGACCCAUUCUUUGACUCUGUUCCUGCCUGGGGACAAGGCCACCUCGGUGCUGGGACACUUGGGCACGAAGAGCACGGUUCACCCAGGUCUGUGCACUGACCAUGAGACCACCACGGUGCUCCUCUCCCCCAGGAGCCCCAACCCCAGCUGGCCACCCCAUCCUGCUGCUGGGAAGGGCUGUGACAAAGCUCAGGCACAGGCAGGAGUGCUGCCUGUGUGUCAGGCACGUCCCGAGGAGGAGCUGGAUCCAGCAGGGCUGGCAGCAGGUGCAUGGCUCAGGAGCAGGCUGGGAAGCGACAGCAAAGUCCAAGCCAGCAGCGGGUUCAAUUAAAAAUGCACACUGAGGCUGAGCUAAAAGCUCAGGCACACAACAGAGAUGAGAUUUAGCUGCGAUUACUGGCAGCAGUCACAUCAUGAAAAUAUCCAAAACGCAGGCUUUGGAGUCCUGCAGCGAUAAAAGUUAUCCUCUCUAUUAAAGCAGACACUGGCCUCGCUCAGCGUGAAAAACAAAACAAAAGGGAACUGUGAACAUCCUGCAGGCUGAUGGAGACUAAUGAUCUGGAGGAUUAUCAAAACUUCUUGGCCAGAGCUCUCAAUAAGUGUAAAAAAUUACUCCACAAAAGACCGACCUAUAACUCUGGAAACAGUUUUUAAUCGGCAUAAGGAGGAGACGGCUUCUCCUCGCUGCUGCAGUUAGAUCACAGCCUCUGGGAAAAGCCUUGCCAUCAUUUCUGUCUAGUUGGGAACCUGGGAGUUAUUGACAUAAUUAUGCCAAUUAGCAGCAUGAUUAUUUCUUUCCCCGCUCCUGGGCGAGCAAGCAAUGCCAGGAGGCACUGGAGUAGAUGCCUGGCCUUCCUCCAGUUCAUGGGUUUCUAUGGAGGCUGGAAGUUGGGAAGAACAUUAUGAGUAUCAGAGCACUUUGUGCUGCCCCCAUGCAAUAAUUAAGAUCCGUAGAAGAGCAGCCUGGCCACAGGAUUGCAUCUCCACAUGAGACAAAUGAAGAUUGAGAAAGGCACGAUGCCUGGGGAGCAGCAACAUGCACACCUUCAAAUUGAUAACCCGGGGAACUGUGCUUUCAGUGAGGUCUUCAAAUUACAGCUUUGUCUGCUUCCAUGAUUAAAAUAAAAUAAACUAGGAAAACAACUAAGAUUAGGAAAAGUUUUGAGUUAUUCCCCCAAGUCUUGGAAGUUCCCGAACCAAACUUUUUUGUUUGGUGAAGCAGAGUUAAAGCCACUAAGUGCCCACAUUCACCUUGCAACUCUAUCACUUACAAAACUCCACUCUCCCCGCUCCAGGAAAAAAAAAAAAAAAGCCACAAGUACAGAUCCCCCACCUUCUGGAAAAAGCACAAACUAUUUAAUUAUGGGUGCUUGUGUUAUCAUGAGAGAUUUUCCUCAUUUUUCCAACAACUCCAAGAGAGCAGGGAAGGAGAGAGGAGAGGGACCCAAACAUAUCUUUAGGUCUGUUUUUCCUGACUGACUUCUCUAGGCAGCUUGUUCCACCCCCCCAGGCAGAGCCCAGCCUGGCUUUUUGAAUUUACCAAGAUCCAGAGCAGCUAAAUUAAAGCAAACAGGGGUGCUACUGGCAGAGACCAUUGUAAAGCUUCUUGUAACAACUUGGAAAUACAAGACCCAAAUCUGUGUCAGGGGGCCAUGCAAGAAAUUAUUCCUUGGGGGAGCAUUAGGUGCAAUCCCUAGGAGCACAGAGCUGUGCUGCUCACUGCUUAAACACAAUCUGAUUUUACCCUGCUGUGCUCAGUUGUGCCUCACAAUAUCUAUCAUUUUCUUUUGCUGCAUAAGCAAGGAGAGAAAACCUCUGCUAAGCACCUUUCCUGGCACGGCAGGAAUAGUGGGUGCCCUGCUCCCCAAGGUGACAUCCUGACUCCUAAAGCAUGGUCUGAUGUCACAUGUCACCAGCUCCAGCACAGCCUGCCUGGGAUGCCCAGUCACAGCCUCCAGUGCAAUUUCAGAUCAAGGCUACAGACAGAAAGCUUGUCCUGCCACGACUUCCAGAAAAAUAUAUGGCAAAAAUAGCCUGGCUUCAGGGUGCAGCUGAACCCACAAACUCACACACAGACACUUCUCCCAAACCAGGCAGCGUGAUGAUAAAACUGAGGACAUUUGGACCAGGUCCCCAGGCUGCUUCAUAAACACACACCAGUGCAAUUCCCUUCAGGAGAAAUGAGUUAUAUAUAAACCAGAGAGAGACUCGCAGAUGCCUGCGCUGAAGAGCCAGUCACGCUGCCCUGCCCGGGGAGAGCAGAGCACAGCAGAGGCUGCAUCCUCUCCCCUGAGAAAAGGCAGGUUCCUUCAACCUUCCUCACCUCCUUCUCGCUUCAGACACAAACCCAGAGUUUCUGCAGAGCUUUUCAGGCACAGAGCAGGAGCAGGUGUGGGCAAGGAGCCUGUGCAAGAGGGAGCUCCCAGGUUCUGGGCAGCACUUGGCUCUGCAGCGGAGCUGCAUGAAGAUGCCACUCAGCAUUAUGCCUGUGCAUCUGCCAGGACCAGAGCUCAGACCUUGAAGCUGCAAAAGAUGGAAUUCAAGCCCGUGAAAGAAAGCCAGAGUGGCUGCAGCAUUUCUCCAUAUAAAGUGGAUGUGUUUUCUGCCUUCCCCCCACAGCCCAGGGCACUGCUGACUCACUGAUGGCAGGACAACCCAGUCCCUGUCCCAUCUCUCCUCUCUCCUGCCCUAUGACCUCCAGCUGCAUUUUUCAGCCGGGUGUAUCCAAUUGCAGGGUAGAGAAAGGGCACCGUGCUGCAUUGCAGCCUGCAGAGAUGUUUCCCUGCAGCCCUGAGCACCCCAGGAAAGAGCUGCACUCCCUCCCUGCAGCCUGGCAGCAUGCCUGCUUCCUUGGCCACAAAGCCAAGGGCUUCUCCAAGGGAAGAUUUCAUGGACAAAACACUUGCCACGUGCUUCCAGCCUCUGGGAGUGGCUGUUGCAGCCCUUGUUGUGCUGGACCAUGCCAUGCAGCAUCCCCAGGCAGUGGGGCCAAGGCUUUGCCCAGCUCAAGGGAAUCAGCCCAGGGCUCAAUCCCUGCAGCUUUUGUUGCUGAAAAUCUCUCCCAGCUGCUUGCUGUACUUUGAGCUGAUGACAGUAUGUCCCUCAUCCACCUCCACCCUGUUCCCGAGAGGGAACUGGAGUGUCAUUCCCUUUUCCCUUCUGCAGAACCAGGACUUGGGCUGUGACACCAUAUGGGGUGUACUUGUGGCACCCCAUCAGUGCCUGCCCACAGCCACCCUGGGCCAAAAAACCUCUCUGCAUCCUUCCACCCAAACUCAGGAAACUCAGGGCUGACCCACCAACUACCAGGGUCUCAUUCAUUGGAGUGGGAGCAGGACAUGGAUGUGAUGCUCUGAGGACCAGCCCAAACCAUCCCCAGCUCACACCUGAGCCGUGGGAUGAGUUACACACCAGGCUCUUUUUGUGCUGGGAAAGGCAGAAAGGAAAAAGUCAACAUCUCCGUGCCAGUGGAGGUUGCUAAGUGACGGCAGAGCUUGUUUCCAUCCCGCCACUGACAGCGUGCCUACGCUGCAAGGGAAGGAAGUGAGGAGUAAGGGAUGUAAACAUGAGUACAUUGCCAAAACACUCGACAUAUACAUUAGCUUCAUGUUUUGGCUGCCAGCAGAGAAAUAUUUACUAUGUGUCAAUUACUCCAGCCUUGGAGCGUUUUACCUGCAGAGGAUUUGCAGCACUCGGUGAAUUUGCCAGUUUUCCAGCUGAAAUGAAUUUUCAGACCAAAGUUGUCAAGCUAUCAGUAGCUGCAAGAACAGCUGCAAUGAACUGAGAUUUCAUCCUUACAUUGUCUCUAAUAGAUGGCUUUUGUUUUUCCAUCAGGAUGUGGCGUUAUGCAGCAUUUUGGAAGCACAACAGAAAGGCAGGAGUGGACGGGGGGGGAUAAAGGCAGCCUUUGUAUGAGCUCCUGGGGAAGAAAGGAGAUGGUUUUGGUAAAAUAAAGGGCAUGCACACACAA